UUUAAGACAUGAAACGCCCGAGAGAAAACUUUUCCUUGCGCUUAUCUCCACAUGAAUCCACGGAACAGAGACACUGGGAGCUGCGAACUCCUCCCUCGCAGUAGCACCAUGAGGUCAUUGCAAAGCGGCGGAGCUAUUUGCGGAUUCCUGAGGGUGCUGAGCCGUUGAGCAGAAGCCACAGGAGUGGACAGCCGUGGCGGGUCACUGGGGGGCCGACUCCCCGGGGAGCCGUUCAGCACCGCCAGGAACACAGAGAGAGACCCGCAGACCCCACACACCUGCUGAAACCUCACAGGGGGAACACACUGAGGGUUGCAGCCGAGGCACCGUUUCGAUGCGUGGAUGGGCCGCGUGGUGCAGCUUCACACCCAGCCGUGGCGGGGAGCACCUCCGGGCGAUGAGCGGUCGGCUAUGGCGUUGAUAGAAGCUUCUGGGGGAUUCAGCACAAAGGAGCCCCAAACAUCCACAGAGCGCUCACGUGCAUCGCUUAUCUCCGCGUGAAGCCUCUUCAGUAUUCACGCGCAGGUAACUGGCUCAGAUCCCCUCAGAGACCGAAGCCUUGAGGGAGAUGUUCCGGAGGAACGAGGCCAGUCCCUCUUUAUCUUUCGUCUCCUCUCCCAUCUGCUGGAAAUGGAAGCUGGCGGAGAAUCGCGCAGCUAUUGUGGAAACAUUUGUCUCCGGCCACACGAUACCCCACAAAAAAAUAAACCUUAAGGAUCUCAUAACCCCGCCCCUCCAUCUGCGAGCGCACCCAGUAAAAUGCGCUCGGUGUUUUUUUUUUUUUGCCAAUGACAUUGGAUUCGUCUGUCAAAAAUAAAAGGAAAGGAAAGAUGAAAUAUAAGCUGGAGAAAAGGGGGAACCGGACUCUCGAUAAAAAAGAGUGCAGGAUCUGUUUCAGCUCGUGGAGAGUUCGCUCCCACACAUUCCUGCUCGAAGGUAUCUCUGCAUGUUUCAGAGCAGUAUUUAUUACAUAUACUCUCAUUACUGUACGGUACCACACACACCUCAUUGCUCAAUGCGCUCCCCCAGCACCGGGGUGGGGCUUUUUCAUAAUUGCUUUUGACAGAUUAUGGAAAGAUGAUUUGCCACAAAGUCCUUUUAUGUGAAUGCUUGCUUUGCGGUGCCGAGUAUCUGCAAGCAGACCUGUAAUUCAACAUAAAUGUAAGCAACUUCAAAGCCCUGCAUUUCUUGUGAACGUCUUGUCGGUGCCUCUCCAUGGUAACUAGUUAGUGCUUAACGAGCCAUGCAUAUUGUGAAAUAGGUGCGAUGGAGUGAUUGUGGUGAGCGCGACCCCCCCAUUUUGUUUUAACAUAAUGAAAUUAACAGGAGUGACUAAUUAUCAUAAGAUUAACAUUUCAGGUGUCGCUACUUCGAACACACGGGAAACUGUUGCACAUUGGAGUUAAGAGGCUGCGUGGGCUCUGUGUGAAACGCAUCUUUUACUUAACCCCCGCAUUUACAUUUUAAAUGCGUCUAAUUAAGAGAAUUACUGUGGAAGCAGGGUAAGUAAAGACCAUCACAUCUUUAAUUGGAAACAUCGAAAGACUGAUUAGAGAGGAAAACAUUCAAUCUUUACUUGAGGCAGCCCCACUUGAGCUACACUUUAGACUAAACGAAUCAAUGUAAAUACAACGCUGUCAGUCAUCCACUAUUGAUGGGCCGGGUCAAACGAGCAAGUCCAUUUCAAAGGUCAAUGCUCUCUGAAUACAAGCCAUUCAUCAUCUUGCAUGGCCUUAAUAUCCAUUUGAAUGCACCCGAGGCUACUUUACACACAUUCUUAAUCAAUAUGCACAUGUCCAGAUACGGAGCAAUUUGUUACUAUACAGUGCAAUUAACUAUCCUUUAAUUCAUCCAUUUCUAAUGUCACCCAAGUCUGGGUACUAAUAAUUCCUCUUAAAAUCAGUUUACCUGCUUAUAGAAGCUUUUUAUUUGUGAACUGGGAAACUGGUACAAUUUCAACCAGGCUGAGGGAUUUCAGAAGUUGGUUUUCUAGUUAGUUACUCAGAAUCUUGACUGUAGACUAAAUUGUGCUCCAACGGUCCAGUGGGGCUCCAAAUACCCCCUC